GUGACCACCCUGCCUGGACCCAGGACAGAGAAUGUUGUGGCAUGUCCCCCCUCCCAUCUCUGGAACCUUGCCGCUAGGGCCCUGGAACAGGAAAUGGUCGUGCCCUCAUUUCAAGCCUGGUUUGUUGAAGAGGAUCCAGAUACUGACAACAGAGAAAUCUUGGGAAAAGGAGCCACUAAAAAGGAAAUACACGGGAGUCAGGCGAUAACCCAGCGGGUUAAACACACAUGGUGCGAAGCGCAAGGACUGGCCUAAGGAUCCUGGUUCAAGCCCCCAGCUCCCCACCUGUAGGGGAGUUGCUUCACAAGCGAUGAAUGUCCUUCAGGUCCUCACACUGCAUGUUGCGUUCCAACAGCAAUUCCAGAGUGCUUUUCAAUUGGCAUUCAACCUGACCCAGCUCCAGCCACCAGGUUCCAGAUGCCAUCAGGAUGCCGGCCAGGCUUCCCUGGACUGAAGACCCCACCAAUGUGUCCUGGAGCUCCGCUUCCCCAGAGACCCACCCUACUAGGGAAAGAGAGAGGCAGACUGGGAGUAUGGACCGACCAGUCAACGCCCAUGUUCAGCGGGGAAGCAAUUACAGAAGCCAGACCUUCUACCUUCUGCAACCCUCAAUGACCCUGGGUCCAUGCUCCCAGAGGGAUAGAGAAUGGGAAAGCUAUCGGGGGAGGGGGUUGGAUAUGGAGAUUGGGUGGUGGGAAUUGUGUGGAGUUGUACCCCUCCUACCCUAUGGUUUUGUUAAUUAAUCCUUUCUUAAAUAAA